GUUGACAUAUGGAUACGGCCUUAUCAGUGAAGGGCUUUUGGUGCCAAGCCUGGCUGUGUGGACUGUCCUGGGAACAGUGGGAGCCACUGAAUACUUCAAAGCAUGCGAAAUGUACCAUACUCCCAUGGCUGCACACUGGAGCACAUGCAGGGCAUGACACUCUUGGAUGGCUCUCCAGUGGAAUCUCACUUCCCUUCUGCUUAUCUAGCUUGUCCGACUUUCAUUUCCGCCAAGGACAGCUGUCCCUGUGUCUGAGGAGCAGAUGUGCCUUUUGGACUCUUAUUUCUCCUUGGCACCUUCCUGUGUUCGCAGCUCGCUACGCCUUGCCCUAUUUCUGUCGGUCUGUAAGUUCCUUGACCUCUCCUACUCCUGUGCCUGCCUCUGUACGUAACCAUGUGACCUAUGACUCAAUGAGGCACGGAGAAGAGUGUUGGGCUCUGCCAACUUCACACAUGAAUGUAAAAGCCAUUUCCUGUAAUCAGGUGAGAAAAAGCACACCUCAGACUUUUGUUCUGUUGAGGCCCGCCCCCUCCCCCAGUAUAGCUGUAGCCAUUUUGUUCCAUGCCUGUCAUCUGUUUCAUAUUGUUGCUGUAAUAUGCCUGCCAGUCACGGACACAGAAAAAAUAACUUGACUCAGAGCAAGGUCAUGCUGAUCACAUA